rnacentral:rRNA from 1 species
GAACGCUAGCGGCAGGCUUAACACAUGCAAGUCGAGGGGUAACAGGGAUUGCUUGCAAUCCGCUGACGACCGGCGCACGGGCGCGUAACGCGUAUGCAACCUACCUUCUACAGGGGGAUAGUCAAUAGAAAUGUUGAAUAAUACCCCAUACGAUCUUUGAAUAGCAUUAUUUAAAGAAGAAAGUUCCGGCGGUAGAAGAUGGGCAUGCGUCCUAUUAGUUAGUUGGAGAGGUAACGGCUCCCCAAGACAUCGAUAGGUAGGGGUCCUGAGAGGGAGACCCCCCACACUGGUACUGAGACACGGACCAGACUCCUACGGGAGGCAGCAGUGAGGAAUAUUGGACAAUGGAGGCAACUCUGAUCCAGCCAUGCCGCGUGCAGGAAGACUGCCCUAUGGGUUGUAAACUGCUUUUAUACAGGAAGAAAUGUACCUACGUGUAGGUAUUUGACGGUACUGUACGAAUAAGGAUCGGCUAACUCCGUGCCAGCAGCCGCGGUAAUACGGAGGAUCCAAGCGUUAUCCGGAAUCAUUGGGUUUAAAGGGUCCGUAGGCGGUCUUUUAAGUCAGAGGUGAAAUCCUACAGCUCAACUGUAGAAUUGCCUUUGAUACUGAAGGACUUGAGUUAUUGUGAAGUAGUUAGAAUGUGUGGUGUAGCGGUGAAAUGCAUAGAGAUCACACAGAAUACCGAUUGCGAAGGCAGAUUACUAACAAUAUACUGACGCUGAGGGACGAAAGCGUGGGU